AGAACAGGAUUUCUGAGCAUGCAGUCAUAACUCUAGGUCAUUCAUUAAUUUCAGGCCCUGCUAGCAGAUACCAAGGAUGACAGUGAAAACAGUCACACGGAAGAAGGAGGGAGGGAGGACCGUGCACUACAAAGAACUCUUUUACACCGAGUUGAGAAAUCAUCGGGUUGUUAGAAUUGGACAGAACAUUUAACUCCCAUUCCUUUAUCAUCUAAAAUCUGAUAUCAUGUCAUUUGGUUCACUUCCUACAAAUAAUUACCUUUUGGCUACAUCAAGGUUAUAAUGAUAAGUUAUCAUUUCGGAGCCCAGACUACAGCCCUCGAACCAAGCUAAGUGACUUAAGUGUGCCAUCUCAUUUAACCCCCACAAAGAUUAUACUUGGCCAGGCUGAUAUCACUUAUUUCAUUUCACAGAUGAGGAUAUUGAUCUCAUGGUCACAAAGCUAGUAAACGGCCGAGAAUCACGCCUCGGUCUGUCCAGCUUCAAAACCUGGAUCCAUCACCAUGACACGCUGCUGAAUGAGGCCCGGGUUCGAGAGUAUCACACUUUAAAAAUAUCAUGAUGCAGAUGAGGAUGUGGUACAGUGAUGACUACCAUGUACACAGUACAUUCUAGACACACACUGUCCCCAAGUGCUUCUCUGCAUCUUCACUUAGUCCCCACUGCAACCCCAUGAGGCCAGCACUGUGACUGGAGGAUGCUGAGAGCAGUGAGGUGAAAUAAGCUGCCCGGCGUCACACAGCUGGGAACUGGCAGAAUUGGGAUUCCAGCUCAGGGAAGCGCCCAUGCUCUUAACUCUUAGGCUACACUGCCUGGCUCUUGGGUGGGGGAUCACUGCAGACAGAGUUAAGCUUUGGUGUGUGGGGGGCGGGGGAGGCAGGGGGAGGGGCAGGUGCUUCAAAGAUGGAAGGGAACACAGAGAAGGGACUUUGCCAACUAAUAUUAGCACAAGUCACAUACUGAGACGAAGGUUUUAAAGAGGAUUUUUUUCCCCCGCUAUUUGAGUUCAUGAGAAGAGUUUGUUACCUAUUGAACAAAUAGUCUUCACUAAUAAAGAACAAUGUGACAAGAAGUCAGCACUGUUCUUAGAUAACUGGGGACACAGGGAGGGCACUCCAGUGUUCCCAUGGAAGGAAUGAAUUCGGGCACAGUCCGUCCCGUGCAACUCCCCUAGGGAGAGAAGGGGCAACUGGAUUCCUCUCGACAAACUAGAAACUUUGUGACAAUGACAAGCUGUUCCCACCCCGGCCCUCCCCUAGGAUGCUGGAGAGCCCAGAGAGGGAAGAGAAGAAACCCAGCGUUGGUGCGGUGCCCACCGCGGACUCGACUUCAUUCCACCUUCACGCUGAGAGGCCAAGAUACCUAGAGAGAGUUCGCGGGGCCGGAGGCUCCCUGCUGUCUCCUGCAAGUGCGUGGGGGUGGGGUCUGAUUUCCACCCGUGUUGGACGUCAGCGGCCUCCGACGCUUUUUGGAAGCAGAAGCCCUCCAGGGCAGGGUUUACUGUUAGUUCUAUUCCUGACUGGGUCGUCGCCAAGACUGGCACACAGUAGGUGCUCAGUAAAUGUGUAUGGAAUGAAUGAAUGUAACCUUCAUCGAUCCAUCUAUCAAUUGUCACACUUCGCUCAUGCUACAGCGGGAUGAACCUUGGAGAUGUAAUACUUAGUGAAAGAAGCCAGACACAAAAGACCACACACUGUAUGAUUCCGUACUUUUCAGGAACACCUGCUGUGUGGCCGGCACUGUAGUAGGUGCCAGGGAUACAAAGAAGAAACUUUCAGGGCUCUUAGGAAGACAGGAAAACAAGUCAAUCAGCAAUGGUCCUAGCGUGAUGAGGAAACUGAGGUUCUGAAUGAUUAGAUGACUCACCCGAUAUCACACAGCUGGUAAGCACGUGAACCAGGAUGAGAAACCCAGGCUAUCUAUGCCAGUGCCCAGUUAACCAGUUCACCAGAACACCAGAAGCCGCCCCCAGGGCUGCAAGCUGACCAUGCCUGGGACACAGGAGGUUGCAGUGGUGAAGAUCAACAGGCGGGGCGAGGAGCAUCUCCGUCUCCCUCUGAAGACCAUUUGGAAGAGGGUGUGAGAGCUGCCGCCAGGCUUUCCCAGAGAACAGCUGGGCCUGGAAGGGGCGGUCCAGGUCCCAUAAUAACUGCUACCUGCUGCUGCAGCAAUUUUCCCUGCUGGGUGUUUCCAAGUCCGAGUCUCCUGGGGGAGGAGGCUGGGAGGAGGAGGAGGAGGAGGGCUGAUUCUCUAAACUCCCCCUGCUUCUCACCAAAGGUCUGUCCUUGGCCCAGCUUCCCUUCCGAAGGUUGAGUAAUCUCAAAAAAUUGCAGCCUGGCAUGAAAGAGCAGGCCUGCAGGCCAAGCCAGAUCACGUCCGCACGCGGGAUGCUUGGCCCACAUGCUCCUGUACACUUGUAACUGUUAAACCAGAGGACAAGAAGCAACAGAUGUCCUCAGAUCACCAAACCAGCAAAUGCGCAGAGCCAUGGUGGGCGUCUGGCCCCAGUGCUUGGGUGGCCCCUAACAUCAGAUUAAGGAAAAAAGACCUCUCCUCAGCUGGAACGUCCCACUUCCUCCUCCCUCCUCCUCACCAGUAUUUUUCUCUCUGCUUUGCCUGGAUUGGAGUCCUGACCUGGCUACUCCCAGCUGUGUGAACUGGGCCAGCAACUUAGCUCCGUUGUGCCUCAGUUUCUCCAUCUCUAAAUGAAGCGCUUAUUCCUCUCUCAUGGAGCCGUCGUGAGAAUUACGUGAAUGAAUACAGGCUGACUACUUUGAACAGUGCCUGGUACGUAAAGCCCUGUACACUGUAGCUUUUGCUGAUGGUGGUAGACACUCUGCUAUUUAGAGAGGUGUUCUUUCUCUCGAGGCUUUGAUUCCUGCUAAAACAGAAAUCAUUUGGAAAUGGACACUUUUUCUGCCAUUUAGAGAGGUAUUCUUUGUCUUGAGCCUUUGAUUCCUGUUAAAAUAGAAAUGAUUCAAAAAUGAA
rnacentral:lncRNA from 1 species